CAAUGGCAAUGUUGACCCAGCACUGCUGAGCCAACUCUUCAACCCAACCUCUGUUAGUGAUGUAAGAAAAGAUCAGCCUGCUAAUUUCUGUGUGGGAUUCCUACUGUUGAACUGGAUCUACCUGUCCAAUCAGGUGAUCUCUGCGUCGUCAUCACCUCUGUCCUCAUUGGCAUCAAGGCUCUGAGGAACUCUGGGAAGGAGGAAAACAGGAGCACUGAUGACCCUGAAUACAACAUACCACUGCUGGGAGAGGUCGCCAUUAAUCCUACAGCCUGACCGUCUCUGGGCCUUUGAACUUAAUCUGAAAAAGCUGAGAAAGUUUUAAAAUGUCCAUCCAUCCAUCAGGUCGCAGGGUCAGCAGCCUAAGCAGAGAGACCCAGACUUCCCUCUCCCCAGCCGCCUGUGCCAGCUCAUCCGGGGGAAUCCCAAGGCGUUCCCAGGGCAGCUGAGAAACAUAGUCCCUCCAGCGUGUCCUGGGUCUUCCUCUGGGCUUCCUCCCGGUGGGACAUCCCCGGAACACCUCACCGGGGAGGCUAACCAGAUGCCCGAGCCACGUCAACUGGCUCCUCUCGACGUGAGUAAGCAGCGGCUCUACUCCGAGUCCCUCCCGGAUGACUGAGCUUCUCACCCUAUCUAAGGGAGUGCCCAGACACCCUACGGAGGAAACUCAUUUCAGCCGCUUGUAUCCGUGAUCUCGUUCUAUUAGAUGAGGGUAGGAACAUUGAUCGACUGGUAAAUCGAGAGCCUCGCUUUCAUGCUCAUCAGUGUUAAUUAGUCACUCUACCUCAAUUACCUUCAGUCUCUCUGUCACCUGCUGCACCAGAUUCUCUCCUUGAUUAACUCCUUCAGUUAAUUGCUCCAUUCUCCUCUUCCCUCAGCAUUUAUACUCUAUUUAUCUGUUCUCGCCACUGGAUUCUACUGUUUGUUACCUGUCUGGUCCCUGGUGUGGUUCCUGCCUGCAAGUGAUUGUUUAGCUCAAAAUAUAUAUAUUUUUUAACUCCCUGUGCUGCUUCCUCGCUCUGCUCUUGGUCCAACAAAACUAUUAUUAUUUACAGUUACUGACUUAUUUAAACAAACAUCAUUCUUCUAAACCUUCUUAGUCCAUGAAUCAAAUAUGAAUGGAUUGAGAAUGAUUGGUGUCCCUAAUCCUUGAUUAGCUGAAGUGACAAACAUUCCAGAUAACAGCCAUAAGCCAGGUUGAAGCACAGAACAACCACAACACUUUGUUUUCCUGCUAAAUGAUCCCUUGUCUAAUUAUUCGGUCUGAGGAUGAUGGGGUGCAAGUCUGCUCACAGCAUUUCAAGCUGAGCAACGUGGAUUUGUUGUGCAUCUCUGAGCUAAAACUGAAAUCAUCGCUGAAAGCAGCUGGGUGCUGGUUUUGUUUAAUUUGCAAAUAACAAUUUUAAUGCAAGUUCGUUUUUAUUUCUGCACACGUGCAGACAUGUUACGUCCUGAUAUUGUAAUAAACAGCUUUAUUUGCUGAGUAGUAACAUCUUAAACAUCAUAUUCUGUCAGAUGAUAUUAAAAAUCAACUUUUAAUGAUUAAAGGUUGAGCUGCUUGAUUCAUUCAGUUGAAGACUCUUGAAUGUUUAAAAAAAGCCUCUUGUCUAAAAUGAAAGAAAUACUUCAAUAAACAGUCAUGAGUGGCGAUGAUCCACAUAGCCCUGUCUUUCAGUGUUUAACCCUUUCUUUUUCCUAGACAUGGCUACUGACUGAGCUUUACUGUGACUAACUCUAUGUGCUCUCUUUCAGACUCUAUCCU